UAAGAUUAUUGCCCAUUUUUAUUCCCAGACCAGCAUGGCCUAAAAUUAUGGCAAAUACUAAUAAUAUUUGUAAAAAACAGCUCUUUGAGCAUCCAGUAUGUAAUUAGUGUGCCCCAGGCAACGUGUUAAUAUUUCCCAUUCACCAAGACAUUUAAUCCUCAUAGCAACUCUGCAUGGGCGGGUUAUUAUCAGCCUCCUUUCACAGAGGCUUAGAGAGGUUUAAGUAACUUGUACAAAGUCACUGACCCAGGAAAGUGAGGAAAGGUCCCAAUAAACCUAACAUCUGGCUUGAAAGUCCACGCGUGCGACUUUGCUGCAUCUAUUCGUUAUCAUGAAGCCUGUGAGCUGGAUUCAGUGUGUGGGUCAACUCAUGGGCUCUAAUGAUAGUAAUGAGCCUACUGUGUGCGAGCAUCUUGCAGGUCAUAUAGUUUGUUUAAUCAUUAUGACAAGGCUCAGAGGCAGGUAGUCAUAGCCUCAUUUUGCAGAUGAGGAAACCAAGACUCAGAGAGGUUAAGUCACUUGCAUGCAGUCACCUGCUAGUGAACAGCACAGCUGGGAUUCAAACUUAGGGUUGGCUGACACAACACCCUCUCUCUUUUCAGCCUCAUGUUAGUGGAAACAGCAGGGAAUCCAUGUGGAGGUUUGCUCUGAGCCCCAGAUCACCUGAUCGAUUUCAGCUGCUUUCCAAAAGAGCCUGGAGGUACAGGAUCCAAGGCAGGGUCCAGGCAUCCUGUCUGUGCUGUGAGCGGAGGGCUUCCCACAGCAGCCCUGAGAGUGCACCCCCAGCCCACACGAGAGAGGGCUGAGCCAGUUCCCUCUCGGCUUUAUUGAUGUGGAAUGAGCUGAAGGUUAUUGCAAUGAAUAAUAAAUGAGCUAUCAUAGCUGAGCCGAUUAUUCCGAAGUGUUACCGAUGUUUGUGUUGAUAAAAAUGAAUAAAUGGCUAAGUGUUUGCAGGGAAUGGAAGAGAAAAGGCAUAAAGAGGAAAUUCGUAUGUGCCUCUGAUAGUUAGAAACAAUGAGUCUUGAAACAGAGGCAAUCAAGGAAUGGGAUAAAGCAGCUUUGUGAUUUGUUAUGUAGAGAAAAUAACGACAGAAUCUUUCAUCUCUGGCCAUGUUGGCUGCAAAGUGGUAAUAGACAUCGGCUUUGAACAGAGGUGAUAAGAGACCAAGAGAAAAAUAAAGUUCAGAACAGUGAAUACAAGAGCCAAAUUGUUGCCUGGCUUUUCUCAUAGACGGAAGACAUAUAGAGGAAGGGCAUGGAUGCAGCUGUUUCAGGCUUCCCUGCGGAUCGAAGAGACUUACCGGCCCCAAAUGUGAAGGAGGGGUUACUCCCAGCAUUGGAGCCAAGGUCAGAUGCAAGAGGAUUAUGAGAAGCUGAAUUCAAUGGAUGGCGUAAGUCAGCCAUGGAGUACUUCCUUUAUACUAAUGAUUCUAAUCCAGCUGUUUGCAACCUUUUCCUCCCCCGCCUCUGCUGAGACACAUUCCCAGAUUUGAUUCCUGUCAAGCUGGUUGCAGCUCUGCCUCUUUCUUUCCUACUCAAAAAAGCACACCAGAAUCCAAGAGAGUGAGAAUGACGCUAUGUCCAUGGUUCCCAAAUUGUGUGCCAAGGUGCCACAGAGCACCACAGCAAACUCAGAGGGGUGCCUUGGGUCAUUUUAAUUGGUUUGAGGAAACUUGACAUCCUCGUGACCUCGUGCUAACUACUAGCUCAGGGUAAUUCACAGUUUCGACAUUAGAUUGUGCUACAUUCCUUUUGAUGAUGUCACAUCUUUGCAAAGCAGAUUUUCGGUCGUUGCUAUGAUAAAAAUCAAGCAUGGUAUGUAAAUCAGUGUGGAGUAGGCAAUAAAGGUGGCGUGUCCAAUCUGAUUCCAAGGUUGAGAAGUUGAGCAGUGCUCAACAGGUAGACACACAUCCCAUUACUAAGUAAUUAUAGUUAUUUAAGAAUAAAAUAAAAAUAUUAUUUUUUCUUUUAAUUUAUGUGCAUUCUUUUUAAAAAUCAGCUAAGUUAGGAUAUAAAUACUUACUAAAUUGUUUGAACCUGACUACUCAAUAAUCAGAAUUGUUAGGCAUUUCUGUUGGCCUGGUGCUCCCAUGAAAAAAUUAUGGAGACACUAUUGAUUCUGUAGACAGAAAGUUUGGGAACUUCUGUGUUAAGUAGCAGGCAGGUCCUAGUGGGAAACAAAUGAUACGCUCAAGCUGGGUAAUUUGAAGAGAGUUUAAGAAAAGAAUUCUUUCCAAAGGCAUGGGCAGGGUGCAGAGAAACACAAGGAAUAGGCAAUAUCCUUGGGUUAGUAAUGGGGAGAAGGGCAGAGGGAAUUGCUCUCUGCAUGGAGGGAUCCACUAAGGUGCUAUGUCCCACAGAGCUCAACCUGCAAUACUGGCCUGGCAUAGCUACACCUUGCUGGCGGUUCUCAAACUAUACCCACAGGGAACCCUGAGUUCCCUCAGCUGUUCAAAUUCAUUCAACAUCAUAAUCACAUCACAGUGGUCUUUUCCAAACUCAUCAAUAACAUCAAGGUCUCAGGAUAGAAUUUUCUCAAUUUUAAGUUUUUCUCUCAUAAAUUUUCCUUAAAUUGAGCCCAAAAUGAAUAAGCAAUAAAUAUUAAUAAGAAAUUUAAAAAUGUGAUUUUUUUAAAGGAACGUUUUAUGUCUUGUUAUUUCUUGAGAUGCAGAAACCUGCAUGCGUAUAAUAUAGUCAUAUUUUCUGCUAGUAAAAUUGUUCCUGACUCGUGUGACAGAAUUAAGCACAUCAAUUUUUUUCAUGUGGUUAUGCAGAAAGCAUAUCAUCUUCCUAAUGUUCGAAUGAAUUUGAAACUAUUUUGAUAGAAAACUUGCAUAUGGUGUAAAAUUUAAGUUCUAGAAAAAUUGUAUUACUAUCGUCAUCAUCACCAUUAUCAUCAUCAUCAUUAUCGAUAUCAUCUCUUUACAAGCGAAUCAGAAUGUCUCCUCUACAUUAUCUUAAACAGUGGUUUUUAAAGUGAGGCCAUUGGACCAGCAGCAUCAGUAAAUGCAGAUUCUCAGCUCUUACCCCUGAACAACUGAAUCAGAAAUUCUGGGCAUGAGGCAUGGCAAUGUGUUUUGACAUGCCCUCCAGGUUGAAAACCACUGCUCUUAAGUAGUCCUUAGACAAACCAGUGAAGUAGGAGCCCUGGUCCCCAUUUCGGAGCUAUGGAAAUAGAGGCUGAGAGAAUGUUACACAGUUAUUGGGUAGCAAGACUGGAGCGUGGAUUGAAGUCUUCUAUCUCUAGGAUGAGUCCUUAUCGCAGACAUCACUCUUGCUUCAUCAGAGGUGGAAGAAGUCAGUGUGUACUGGACUUUAGGUGAAUGGCAUCCUCUGGAGUUGUUCCAAGUGCCUCAGGUUGCCCCUCACCAAACACCUCUAGAAAUAGGUGGCCCUUAGCUAGGUCUGGAAGGACAAAGGGGAUGUGUGUGUGUGGGUGGAGGAGGAGGUCAGUGGUUGGUUAACAAAUGGGCAAGAGGGGAGUGGCUUUCAAAUGGUGAAAUCAAACAAAAA
rnacentral:lncRNA from 1 species